CCGAGCACCGAGACGAGCCUUUAUGGCGAAGUUGCUGAUACCACGCUUCCAGGAAAAGCUCCUAAGCUUCAGCUUACGCAGACCGUACCGUAAACCGACACAGGUGGGUAGGAUGAGAAUUCUCAGGCGCUUGAGAGAACUCGGGUGAAGGAACUAGGCAACAUGGCACCGUAACUUCGGGAGAAGGUGCACCCUUUUUGGUGGCUCGUGCGAGCUAUAGCUGAAGAGGGUCGCAGUAACCAGGCCGCUGCGACUGUUUAUCAAAAACACAGCACUCUGCAAACACGAAAGUGGACGUAUAGGGUGUGACGCCUGCCCGGUGCUGGAAGGUUAAUUGAUGGGGUCAGCCGCAAGGCGAAGCUCUUGAUCGAAGCCCCAGUAAACGGCGGCCGUAACUAUAACGGUCCUAAGGUAGCGAAAUUCCUUGUCGGGUAAGUUCCGACCUGCACGAAUGGCGUAACGACAGCGGCGCUGUCUCCACCCGAGACUCAGUGAAAUUGAAAUCGCUGUGAAGAUGCAGCGUUCCCGUGGCAAGACGGAAAGACCCCGUGAACCUUUACUAUAGCUUUACACUGAACGUUGAGUUCGUCUGUGUAGGAUAGGUGGGAGGCUAUGAAACUGUGGCGCUAGCUGCAGUGGAGCCAUCCUUGAAAUACCACCCUGUCGUGCUUGACGUUCUAACCUGGGCCCAUUAUCUGGGUCGGGGACCGUGUAUGGUGGGUAGUUUGACUGGGGCGGUCUCCUCCUAAAGAGUAACGGAGGAGCUCGAAGGUACGCUCAGCGCGGUCGGACAUCGCGCACUGUGUGCAAAGGCAUAAGCGUGCUUGACUGCAAGAUCGACGGAUCAAGCAGGUAGGAAACUAGGACUUAGUGAUCCGGUGGUUCUGUAUGGAAGGGCCAUCGCUCAACGGAUAAAAGGUACUCCGGGGAUAACAGGCUGAUACCGCCCAAGAGUUCAUAUCGACGGCGGUGUUUGGCACCUCGAUGUCGGCUCAUCACAUCCUGGGGCUGUAGUCGGUCCCAAGGGUAUGGCUGUUCGCCAUUUAAAGUGGUACGCGAGCUGGGUUCAGAACGUCGUGAGACAGUUCGGUCCCUAUCUGCCAUGGGCGUUGGAGAUUUGAGAGGGGCUGCUCCUAGUACGAGAGGACCGGAGUGGACGAACCUCUGGUGUUCCGGUUGUCACGCCAGUGGCAUUGCCGGGUAGCUAUGUUCGGAAGCGAUAACCGCUGAAAGCAUCUAAGCGGGAAGCGCGCCUCAAGAUGAGAUCUCCCGGGGCACAAGCCCCCUGAAGGAACCAUGUAGACUACGUGGUUGAUAGGUCAGGUGUGUAAGUACAGCAAUGUAUUGAGCUAACUGAUACUAAUGAUCCGAGAGGCUUGACCAU
rnacentral:rRNA from 1 species